AUCUAGAGGGUGAAUGUGAAAGAUUGUUGUUCUGACAAACCUAGAGUACAGCUUUCUUAUUGGCUCUUAAUUCUGGAAAACAGAGUGACUCCUAAUAUCUUGACAUGUUUAUAUUUAUAUGUACACACAUAUCUUGGAAGGCAUCAUCUGUACUCACAUAGCACAUAAACCCUGUAAAAGUUUCAUCUAUGAAGAUUAUAUGCCUGAGAGAAAAGGGUAGAGUCUUAGAGAUCUAAACAUUUAAAGAGAUGGUUCUAAUAGGCAAAUUCACUGUCAACAACUUUUUCUUUAUUUCUUAUAAUCUGAGUAAAAUUUAAGAAAAAUCAAAUAGGUAUUUUGGCUGUUUGGUACCUGUUCUCACAAGACUGAUUUACUACAGAUACUCAUAGAACAUAGAAGUUGAUCUUCUUCACAAGAAGUCUGGCAUGACGAAAGUGUGAUCUAAAAGAAAAGAACUAAAUGAUAUUGUUGUGACUCCCAGACAACACUUCCUGGCAUUGAAUUACACUGGAUCAGGAACUGUUUUGUUCCCAAAGAUACCACAAUUUACUCCAGGAACAUUGACUAUUAUUCUGGUAAGCUUCAGUAUAAGUUAUUCUCUAAACUUGACUUGCUGUAUCUCAUUUCUAGUUGUUCAUGAGGUCAUUUUUCAUCUUUCUUCUGCAUCUAGAAAAUAUGCUUGCACUUAGUAGGCCCAUAAUAAAUAUAUUGUAUUGAAGCUUCAAAACAAAGAAAUCUUAAAUGUAAAAUUUUAAAGUUACUAGAUAUGAUUGAAUAUAAUUUAUAUUUAGCAUGGUACAAGUCAGUGGAGAGGAAGAAAAUAUGAUGGAGUAUAAGGUUAAAGAUAAUAUAGUUUGCUUAGAGGACUUUAGAGAGUCUAUAAGUUUAAUUUUAAAAUUAUUAAUUUAGAUAAAGUUGAAGGAUAUAAGAUAAACCCACAAAAUUACAAAUCUUUCCAUAUAUUACUACCAAAUUCCAGGAGAAAAAUGUAGAAAAAUAAAUUCUAUUCAAAACAACUCUAAAAUAUAUAAAUGAUAUGGUAAUUAAAAGCAUUUAAGAGACACUCAGUACCUAUGUGGAUACAACUAUGAAAUACUCUUUACAGAAAAAAAAGGAAGACAACAAAUUGAAGAGAGAUUAAUUGCUCAUGGUUAGUCUGUGCUUACAAUAUGUAAAUAAAACAAUUCUAAAUUAAUUGAUAGAAUUAAUGCUGUGCCAAACUACCAAGGUUUAUUUUGAAUAAUUAGAUAAAAUUAAGUUUGAAAAAUUCUCUUGGAAGUAUAAAAGGUCAAGAAUCAAAGGGAAACUAGUGAAAAAAGGAGAAGUGAAGGGAAUUUUAGUAAGUUUUUCCUGAUAAAGUUCUGAUAUUGGAAGAGAAUUGAUACAAAUAUCUUAGAGCAAGAGUCAUUCUCCAUUAAAUAAGUAGUCUAAAGGAAAAAAAAAAAUAGAUGUUUUUCACUUGUCAAAAUAAGGCACCAAAACUGUCAUUCCCCCCUUGGUUGUCAUUGAUCAUUAUGUCAAUGAUCAUUAUGAUUAUUAUGUUUAGCUGAGGUCUUUAUUCCUUAUUAGACUUGACUUCCCUCCAACUCUCAUUGACUCUUACCAAUCAAGUUCUG
ensembl:lncRNA